rnacentral:rRNA from 1 species
CCUACGGGAGGCAGCAGUGAGGAAUAUUGGUCAAUGGACGAGAGUCUGAACCAGCCAAGUCGCGUGAAGGAUGACUGCCCUAUGGGUUGUAAACUUCUUUUAUAUGGGAAUAAAGUGUUCCACGUGUGGGAUUUUGUAUGUACCAUAUGAAUAAGGAUCGGCUAACUCCGUGCCAGCAGCCGCGGUAAUACGGAGGAUCCGAGCGUUAUCCGGAUUUAUUGGGUUUAAAGGGAGCGUAGGUGGAUUGUUAAGUCAGUGGUGAAAGUUUGCGGCUCAACCGUAAAAUUGCAGUUGAAACUGGCAGUCUUGAGUACAGUAGAGGUGGGCGGAAUGCGUGGUGUAGCGGUGAAAUGCUUAGAUAUCACGAAGAACUCCGAUUGCGAAGGCAGUUCACUGGACUGCAACUGACACUGAGGCUCGAAAGUGUGGGUAUCAAACAGGAUUAGAUACCCGUGUAGUC